GACGAACGCUGGCGGCGUGCUUAACACAUGCAAGUCGAACGGAAAGGCCCUGCUUUUGUGGGGUGCUCGAGUGGCGAACGGGUGAGUAACACGUGAGUAACCUGCCCUUGACUUUGGGAUAACUUCAGGAAACUGGGGCUAAUACCGGAUAGGAGCUCCUGCUGCAUGGUGGGGGUUGGAAAGUUUCGGCGGUUGGGGCUGGACUCGCGGCUUAUCAGCUUGUUGGUGGGGUAGUGGCUUACCAAGGCUUUGACGGGUAGCCGGCCUGAGAGGGUGACCGGCCACAUUGGAACUGAGGUACGGCCCAGACUCCUACGGGAGGCAGCAGUGGGGAAUAUUGCACAAUGGGCGGAAGCCUGAUGCAGCAACGCCGCGUGCGGGAUGACGGCCUUCGGGUUGUAAACCGCUUUCGCAUGUGACGAAGCGUGAGUGACGGUAAUGGGUAAAGAAGCACCGGCUAACUACGUG
rnacentral:rRNA from 1 species